GCGCUUAACACAUGCAAGUCGCACGAGAAAGUGGAGCAAUCCAUGAGUACAGUGGCGUACGGGUGAGUACACGUGGAUCAUCUACCUCUUAGUGGGGAAUAACCUGGGAAACCGGGGCUAAUACCGCAUAAGCUCGAGAGAGGAAAGCAGCAAUGCGCUGAGAGAGGAGUCCGCGGCCGAUUAGCUAGUUGGCAGGUAAACGCCUACCAAGGCAAAGAUCGGUAGCCGGCCUGAGAGGGCACACGGCCACACCGGCACUGAAACACGGGCCAG
rnacentral:rRNA from 1 species